GACGAACGCUGGCGGCGUGCUUAACACAUGCAAGUCGAACGAAGAGCGAUGGAAGCUUGCUUCUUUCAAUCUUAGUGGCGCACGGGUGAGUAACGCGUAAUCAACCUGCCCUUCAGAGGGGGACAACCGUAGGAAACGACUGCUAAUAACGCAUACGAUCCGACCUCGGCAUCGAGGAUGGCUGCAAGCUGGCCUCUAUUUAUAAGCUAUCACUGAAGGUGGGGAUUGCGUGUGAUUAGCUAGUUGGGGGGGUAACGGCCCCCCAAGGCCAUGAUCAGUAGCCGGUCUGAGAGGAUGAACGGCCACAUUGGGACUGAGACACGGCCCAGACUCCUACGGGAGGCAGCAGUGGGGAAACUUCCGCAAUGGACGAAAGUCUGACGGAGCAACGCCGCGUGAGGGAUGACGGCCUUCGGGUUGUAAAGCUCUGUUAAUCGGGACGAAAGGGCUGCUUGCGAAUAGUUAGAAGAAUUGACGGUACCGGAAUAGAAAGCCACGGCUAACUACGUG
rnacentral:rRNA from 1 species